rnacentral:sRNA from 3 species
AAGCUUCGACUAAGGUUCGAUUCGAGCGCAGCGAGAAAGCGUUGCCGCAGGCAACGACCCGAAGGGCGAAGCGCGCAGCGCUGAGUCAUCCUUCCCCCACCACCA